AGCUCCAAUAGCGUAUACUAAAGUUGUUGCAGUUAAAAAGCUCGUAGUUGGAUUUCUGCGUGAGCGGGACAGCCGGUGGCUUCUAGCCGCAAGUGCUUGUAACGUUCGCGCAUCCGGUCGAACGCCGUGCUACCAUUCAGUUGGUGGUGCGAGCUUACGGCCCAUUUACUUUGAGAAAAAUAGAGUGUUCAAAGCAGGCCAAUGCCUUGAAUAAUUUAGCAUGGAAUAAUGAUAAAGGACUACGGUUCUAUUUUGUUGGUGUUCGGGACUGAAGUAAUGAUUGAUAGGGACAGUUGGGGGCGUCAGUAUUCCAAAGCGAGAGGUGAAAUUCUUAGACCUUCGGAAGACUAACCGCUGCGAAAGCGUUCGCCAAGGAUGUUCCCU
rnacentral:rRNA from 1 species